AGGCCGGGCUCCGCCUCCGGAAGGCGGGCGGGGAGGGUAGUUGCUGGGGGUCCCUAGGGCGGGCCCCAGGACCUCUAGGAAAUGCCGGGGGCUGUUUGCUACGGCUUCAUCCCGGAGCUCCUGCUCGGGGUUGCCGGCUGCCCCUGCUGGCGUCCCUCUUCCCUUCCUUUGCGUAAGCGGCAACUCCUCCAGGAAGCCAGUGGAAGGACCGGAUUUCCUCUCCACGUAGGGUAGUAGAUCGCAUAGCCCAGCCGGAUCGCCCAGCAGGAGUGCAGGGCGCGCGUCGGGGUUUCUCCGGCUUGUGGGUGUGCGGUUCGAAACCUUAGCUGGGGUGGGGGAAGGGAUGUCUUUAACUUUCUGUCUACCCUCCCCCUCUUCCCUCUCUCAGCCUAGAGGCAGGGGAUGCUGCGGGAUCAGACUGGGUGCACCGAGGCGGAGGGCCAUGCCGGGCUUCGCCCUUCCUGGGUUUCCCGGAGUCCGUUCCGGAGAAACCCUGGCAUUGCCAGAACUGGGUCCCCGCACUCACUCCUCCAUAAUUCGCGGCGGAUCAGCGGGAGGAGGGCAGAGGGCGGGGGCGAGGCAGCUUCCCGGCGGGUAUGUCGCAAAGUGUGCGGGGUGUGGCGCAAAGUGCGCGGACCCGGGUCCUGGACCGAAGAUUUAGCCCAGGGUUUCGUGUGUGUUGCUCCCUGUUGCUUUCUACGGGGUCUGCGCUGGCCUCCUCCUCGGGCGACUGGGCCCUGAGGCAACAGCGCCUUCUCGAGCCCCGAGGAUUGACCGCCCCGAGCCUGCCUGGAGCAGGGCCUCUCUCCAGCGCGGUGUGAUGAAACACCAGCUGCUGUGAAGAUAUACCCUUAGAAACGAACCGUCUGUUAAUAUGCUUAUGAAAACAGGGGCUCAGAGAGGAUGUACUUUUCUCAAGACCGCACAGCUGGAAAAAAACCAUUCUUCCAGGAGAGGCUCCUCCAAGCAAACUUCCCCUUACAUCUCUUACCAGAACUGGGUCACAUGCUCCCAUCUAAAACAACCACUGGCCAUUAGAAAUGGUGUUACCAUGCCUGUCUUGGACCAAUCACAUUUGAUCCUCUGGGGAUAGAGACAUGUUGCCACCUGAACAACUGUGGGGUGCUGUACUCCUGGCAAGCAGGGAGAAUGGCUGUGGCUAGGCAACUGACAGCAUCUACCACAAAUAUGUUACUCAGAAGAAGAAUCGAGGAUGGCCAUAAUUUUUAUUUAAAGAUUUCUAUUUUACAGAGGCAUAUCUGAUUAAGGGACAUUUAAACUUCCCUGUUAAACUUAUCAAGACAAAAAGACAAGGCAUCUUGCCACAUUUCUUAAAUAUUCUCUGCAGUCUCUCUUGACCUUUUCCCAGCUGUGCUGUAAACAUAAAGAUAAUAACAUAUCUGAAUAACAUUUUAUGGUGCACAGAUAAUUUUCACAUACAUUAUCCAUUUGACCCUCACCAUAACUGUGUGGGGUAGGUAAGGUACGAUUGUACUUUUCAUUAAUUUUUUUUUUUUGAGACAGAGUCUCGUUCUGUCACCCAGGCUAGAGUGCAGUGGUGCGAUCUGGGCUCACUGCAACCUCCACCUCCCAGGUUCAAGUGAUUCUCCUGCCUCAGCCUCCAAGUAGCUGGGAUUACAGGCAAGUGCCACCAUGCCUGGCUAGUUUUUGUAUUUUUUUAGUAGAGACGGGGUUUCACCAUGUUGGACAGGCUGGUCUAGAACUCCUGACCUCAGGUGAUCCACGUGCCUCGGCCUCCCAAAGUGCUGGGGUUACAGGCAUGAGCCACUGCUCCUGGCCACUUUUCAUUAAUUUUUAUUGGACUUAGGAUUAGAAGGAUGAGCAAAUCCUACUACUUAGUGCGUGGAAUACUGGCAUCUAUUGUUUUUGCUUGGCUCCUCUCUCGUUUUAAUAAUUAACUAAUCGAUCCAUUCUCUUUUAUUGCCAUCUCCCACUCACACUUUUUCCUCCACAUAGGCAAUCAUUCUAAAUAUGUCCAAUGUUUAUCUUAUUUGUAUGCGUAUUUAUAAAGUGAAUAUUUUGUUUAGUGUGUAUGCAGUUUCGUUUGCAUAAAUUGUAAUAUUCUGUGAAUCUCAUUCUGGUUUGUACUUUUUUCAUUCUGCUCUGUUUUUAGAAGUGAUCCAUGUUGCUAUGUGAUUCUACUCCAUUGCCUUUAAAUGCUGCAUAAUACUCCA